UACGUAGGAGGCAAGCGUUGUCCGGAUUUAUUGGGUUUAAAGGGUGCGUAGGCGGCUUUGUAAGUCAGUGGUGAAAUAUGGCAGCUCAACUGUCAAGGUGCCAUUGAUACUGCAGAGCUUGAGUACAGAUGAGGUAGGCGGAAUUGACGGUGUAGCGGUGAAAUGCUUAGAUAUCGUCAAGAACACCUAUAGCGAAGGCAGCUUACUAGGCUGUAACUGACGCUGAGGCACGAAAGUGUGGGGAUCAAACAGG
rnacentral:rRNA from 1 species